GCCCCGAUGGCACAAUGGUACUGCACGCGAUUCGAACUCGCGGUCCUCUGGACAUCCAGGUUCGAUUCCUGGUCGGGGCG
rnacentral:tRNA from 1 species